UUAAGUGCCUGAGUAUCGUUUAUCAUACUCUACCAGAGUAUCAAGGUUAUUCUCAUCUAUAAAAUUCCACACGAAGGAAUGGAAGAGAAGAAGCCCGCCCUUUCUUUCCUAGGUUUUCCUCGCUCAAGGGAAAUCCAAGAUGGCAGGUAGAGGUAGGAUGCCUCGUCAUGUUGUUGAUGAUCGACGUGGUUACCCUGACAUCCAUGAAGGCCCACCAUUUGUUCGGGGUCCCAUGCCUCGACCACCUCAUCCUGCAUUAUUGGAGGAAGAGCUUGAAAUCCGUCAUGCUGAAAUCCGGAGGCUUGUAGGGGAUAACCGUCGUUUGGCUGAAGAUCGUUUGGGCUUGCAGAGGGAGCUAGGCAUUGCGAAGGAGGAACUGCAUCGCAUGAACGUUGCCAUUACAAAUAUUCGUGCAGAAAAGGAAGCCCAUAGUAGAGAGUUGAUUGAGAAAGGCAUGAAGCUAGAAGCUGAUCUACGUGCAACUGAGCCUUUGAGAAACGAGGUUAUACAGCUACGGGCAGAUGUUCAGAAAUUGAAUUCCUUGAGGCAAGAAAUGGCUGGGAAAAUUCAAACUCUUUCACAAGAUAUGGGGAGGCUACAAGCGGACAAUCAACAGAUUCCUAUUUUGAGGGCAGAGAUUGACGGUCUAAGCCAAGAGCUUGGACGUGCUAGGACUGCUUUUGAGUAUGAGAAGAAGGCAAAUACUGAGCUACUUGAACAGAGGCAAGCGAUGGAGAAAAAUUUGGUUACCAUGGCUCGUGAAGUUGAAAAACUACGGGCAGAUAUUGCAAGUACCGAUGCUAGACCAUGGGGUGCUGGUGGCACUUAUGGGGUAAAACUUGGUAGUCCUGAUGGGGGCUUUCCUGCUUCAUAUGGGGAUGGAUAUGGACUUCGCUCGGGUGUUUCUGACAAGGGUCCUCUGUUUGGCGCCGGUUCUGGUUCAUGGGGAGCAUUUGAGAAGCCUCGCCUUGGGCGCCGCUGAGAUCCAGUUGAUUUGCUAUUAGAGCAUGAUCCUUGUUUAGCCUGCUGGUGCUUCAAUAUUGAAAGGAAAGAGUCCAACUGCACUCAUAAUGGAUCAUUGUUUGGAAGGAAAUCUUGAAAAGUUGAUCAAGCACUCAGUGGUUGAUAGUUGGAAAGCUGAUCUUAUGGUCCUUAAAGAUUAACUUCGACGGUAGCUCUGCGAUAAGCUGUGUCUAGCACAUUUGAGGAACAUCACAAUGAGCAUGUGGAGCCUCAAUGUAUCACCUUCCUUCCAUUAGUUGUAGCGUAUGGGAGGAAAAAAUGCAUCUCAAUUUCAGAGGUUUGUUUAUUGAUGCAUGCCAUGGAUGAGAGGGGAAAGAUGAAGCUGGUGCCCUGAUCCCCUUCAGUGUGGACAGAUUUUAUAGUAAACUUUCAUUGGUGAUUUGAGUGAGAAUGAGGACAAUAUAGCCGGUUGGUGGUUUCCAGGUAAGUAAUAUGGUGGGGAAGUGGGGAUGCCAUGUCAUCCAGAGAGCAGUAAUCUUAUUGGUUUGCUUGAUUCAUUAUUGUACGUGGAAGUAAAACUUCCUGGUAGCCAGAUGCUGGAUUUAUAUGCAUGAGGCUCUAUCAUGCAUGUCAUUGAUUCCUCGUGCUUGCAGACAUUCUCUUGAUUUGAACAUGGUCUGGUAGCCAAAUGCGCAAGUGUGUGUGAUAGAGAAAGCUAGGCUGUAGGAGGGGCUUCGACACCAUAAUUUGAAUUUCCCCAUUUAGCUACCAUGGUGAUGUUGGAUCAAGGAACUUUGUAUUGUUUACGAAGAUCUAGUAGAGGCAAUUAUUCAGAUUAUCAGUAUUGUUACAUGUAUUGAUAACCGAGGAUAUGAAGAGAUGUAACAUAUCACCUAUAUUUGGAAAAACGUCGCUGACCUAGGGAAACAUUGAGAAAAAAGACGGAAUUUUUUAGUGAAACUCUUAAGAGAUGUUAAAAGACAUGCUUACACAUGAAUCUAAAUAUUGCAAAAAACAACCACACAUAGUAACUUUCCAUUUUAAGGGCCUGAACCAUGUGUUGUCGGGGAAAAAAGCAAUGCAAUUAUAACCUAAAUGAGUUCAUAUCAUUCAAAUAAUAUACAAUGCAAAUUAUAAAACAUAAGCAAAUGUGCCCACAAACUAAAGAUAAUGGAAAAAAAAAAAAAAAAAAAAACCUUUGCCUCAGUCCCACAUGGAGUUGGCUCAAAGUCUCUCUCAUAUGAGAUCCUUGCAGGUUGAUUUCUUUCUUCUAUUAGUGUGUUAAGAUCACCAUAUUGGAUAAUGUGAGCUUCACUUUGUGCUGUACAUGAGUUUGUACUUCAAACGACUAUUGAAAGCAUUAAUAGCAUUGGCUUUUAACUAAUUGUUGCUAGUUUACUAUUUAGGUGGAUGGUUGGAUUAAUGAUUCAUUGGUUGCUAGUGUGAUAAGUAGAUGGUUUAUUCUGUCACUUGCUUUUGCUUAAUUGCCUUGGGCGCUAUUUUUAGUUUUCCUUCGAACUGUGUUGAAUUCGAAUUGUUUAGUGGGAACAAUUUGUGGAUUUGCUGGAAUGAUAGAGUAAAUAUUAGAUUUUGGCAGUCGCGCCCACCUUACUGUAAAAAAUGUGUAAUAGCUUUGCAAUUAGUUUCAUUACAUUGUUUUAGGCCCUGUUUGGUAGACGCCUAAAAAUGAGUUGACCCUGUUUUAGUUAUUAUUUAUUAGAGAUUCUCAUACGUAAUACAUAAUGGGUUUAUGUGUGAUUAUAUAUUAGUGGUGAAGAUCUCUGAUUCAUAACUACUGUUAACUAAAAUGCGAUCGACUCAUUUUUAGGCGUCUACCAAACAGGGCCUUAGACUUAGUUUUUUGAGUUAAAACUACUGAAACAGAAAUGCUUCAGUGCUCUAAGACCACUAUAAAUUAUAGCACUCCUAGUUGCAUGUAGUUGUGUUGGGACACUUGGACUGUCUAAAUCCACUUAUCGAGACUGUUCGUUAGGUCCAAUGCACAUUUCGUGGGCAACCAUUCAAGCCUCACAACAAUGUAACAAGCUUUAAUAUGGCUGUCAAGAUAAUCUUCCCAAAAAUAGGUCCAAUGAACAAUUUAAUCCAUCUAUUUGUUAGAGGCCAUCAUGGAUUGCUUGUGAUUCUAAAGAAUCACUUCCUAUUAGGUAAACCAUCCACGCCUUCGAAAAAUGAUGGUUACAAAAAGAAAAAAAGAAAAAAAGAAGCAAAUCAAGGAUGGAUCGCAUCAUCCAAUCAGUGGGAUUUUUUGCAUGGUAGCCUGAGAGGUGUUCUGGACUUGAUGGAGAGUUCAGAUCAACGAUUGGACUAUCCAACCGAACUGAUGCAACUAGUUUUACUGGAGCAUUUCUCAUUAAAAAUUUGGUAUGUAUUUAUAUGUAAAGUGUAUGACAUAUGAUAAGUUAAUAAAAGAUUUUCACGUCGAUUCUCAAGGUUUGCACCUAGGCUCUUCGGUCGCUUCAUGGCACUUGCACCUGACGAGCUGCGAAGACCUCUAACCACUUCAGAUUGGACCAAUGGGUUCUCGUUGUUUUAGGUCCUGACAAACUGCCCUUUUAGACUAACAUGUGCGGAUGGAUUCCCAGGCCUUGAUGUUUUUCCUUUUCAUCAUUUUAACAACUUCUUCAAUGGGUGUUCGGGCAUUUUCUGCUUAAUCUGUGGUGAAGCAUGAUGGUGGUUUUUU